GACGUUAUUUGGCCACGUUUCGAAUCGUCCGUUGGCGAGGUGGCUGCAUAAAUAUCCGCUCCUUGAACGUCAUCUUUGUUUUGUAUUAUUUCCUUAAGCGUUUAAAUUACUUUUGGAUAACCAAAUACCCUUUCUGCCUUUGGUAAUGUGUCUUGAAAUCAUGAAAGGAAAUUAUCAGAAGGACAUUGAGACCACGCCUGAAAAUAAGAAGAAAUGUUCCAAAUCCAAGAGGAGACCAUAUCUGCGUGCAAAUAUGGGAAAUGCCAGACUCCGAACACACAGUCGCGAGAAAAGACAAAUCCGCGCCUGGUCAGCCAGGAGAUCUCGGCUGAGUCCGGACCGUGUUGAUGUUUGGAAGGAUCACAAUCGUUCUGUACCGUCUGGUGCCAUGGCACCAAGAAACACAACACAAUAUUUAAUGGACUUGGUGUACACCGAGCGCUUAGAUGUUUCAACGGAUACUUCCGAUAUUAGCCCUGAGUUUUCAAAGCAUAUUCAUGUGUCAUUUGAUGAGAGCAUUUUCUCAUUGCCAGACUCCGAUUACGACAGAUCUUUGAACUUUCAGCAGAGAGACUUCGAGAGUGUGCUCUUCAUGAAUGAAAUCUGACGUGCUCACCGAAACAUGACAUGAUUUCGUGGCAGCGAGACGACCGGGAAGCUGUGAAACCAUAGGCCGUAAUAUCAUUGCGCAGACUCCAACUCGGGGAGGCAGGACGCUCUUCGUCACCGCUGUGCGAUGACGUACCUCUGCCACGCCCCAAGCACUCGCACCACAACCACGUGGUCUGCAGGUAAAUCCACUCCACCCUUUCAGGUGUACGUGGUGUAAGUGCAAAGUAAUUUCUAAAAAUGCAUGCACUAUUCUGCCAUCGGAUGCAUUUGUGUGUUUGAGAGACUUUUACAGGUUGCUGUUCCUCCUCGUUGGCUCUCUAUCAACACUCGGAUUCUUGGGACAAAGCACAUUGCUUCCUGAACGUCGCAAUGUUGGGUAAUUUUGCAUACUGUUGUAAAUGUUACUUAACACCAUCAAGAGAACUUCAUGACCUUCUGUAUUAGAAAAUAUUUUGUAAGAAAAUGUCAUGAUGAAUAUUGAUUGUAUUAACUAUUAAAACUUGUUUUUAACUGA